rnacentral:RNase_P_RNA from 1 species
AUGUUAGAAAGGAUAACCGCCGUUGCGGUUUGCACUUCGGAAACGAGGCGCGAACGCGGUCGACGGAGGAAAGUCCGGACUCCUUUGGAUCACGGUGGUGGGUAACGCCCACCGCUUCCUUCGGGAAGUAGGGACAGUGUCACAGAAAGCAAACCGCCCGGAAGGUUUCGGCCUUCCAGGUAAGGGUGAAACGGCGAGGUAAGAGCUCACCAGCAAGCCGGGCGACCGGCUUGGCUCGACAAACCCCACCGGGAGCAAGACCAAAUAGGAAGGCAGUUGCCACGUGGAUUUGGGUUAUUCCAAAAAAAUGUGUCACGCGGGUCGAUCCAGCCCGUUCCACCUUCGGGUAGGUUGCUAGAGGCGUCGGGCAACCGACGUCCCAGAGAAAUGGUUAUCCAGGGUGCUUAAACCCUGACAGAAUCCGGCUUAUAAGUCUAACAUCUCC